rnacentral:rRNA from 1 species
CCUACGGGAGACUGCAGUGAGGAAUAUUGGUCAAUGGACGGAAGUCUGAACCAGCCAUGCCGCGUGCAGGAAGACGGCUCUAUGAGUUGUAAACCGCUUUUGUACAAGGGUAAACCUGAAUACGUGUAUUCAGCUGAAAGUACUGUACGAAUAAGGAUCGGCUAACUCCGUGCCACCAGCCGCGGUAAUACGGAGGAUCCAAGCGUUAUCCGGAUUUAUUGGGUUUAAAGGGUGCGUAGGCGGAUUGAUAAGUUAGAGGUGAAAUGUCCGAGCGUAACUCGGGAACUGCCUUUAAUACUGUUGAUCUAGAGAGUAGGUGAGGUAGGCGGAAUGUAUGGUGUAGCGGUGAAAUGCUUAGAGAUCAUACAGAACACCGAUUGCGAAGGCAGCUUACCAAUCUAUAUCUGACGUUGAGGCACGAAAGCGUGGGUAGCAAACAGGAUUAGAUACCCGGGUAGUC